AUCUCUUACUUGGAAAAAUUUUCCAAGGCAAAAAGCAAAAGCUACCCCGGUUCAAUUUUGAGAACCCGAGUACCCCGGUUCAAUCAUGAGCUAUCUUACUUGGAAAAAAUUUUCUAAGGCAAACAAACAAAAAGCUACCCCGGUCCAGUUAUGACCUAUCUCUUACUUAGAAAAAUUUUUCGAAAAAUUUUUGAAGGCAAAAAAGCAAAAGCUACCCCGGUCCAGUUAUGACCUAUCUCUUACUUAGAAAAAUUUUUCGAAAAUUUUUUUAAGGCAAACAAACAAAAAGCUACCCCGGUCCAGUUAUGACAUAUCUCUUACUUGGAAUUUUUUUUUUCCAAGGCAAACAAACAAAAAGCUACCCCGGUCCAGUUAUGACAUAUCUCUUACUUGGAAUUUUUUUUUUCCAAGGCAAACAAACAAAAAGCUACCCCGGUCCAGUUAUGACAUAUCUCUUACUUGGAAUUUUUUUUUUCCAAGGCAAACAAACAAAAAGCUACCCGGGUUCAAUCAUGAUCUAUCUCUUACUUGGAAAAAUUUUCCAAGGCAAAAAACAAAAGCUACCCCGGUUCAAUUUUGAGAACCCGAGUACCCCGGUUCAAUCAUGAGCUAUCUUACUUGGAAAAAAUUUUUUCCAAGGCAAACAAACAAAAAGCUACCCGGGUUCAAUCAUGCUCUAUCUCUUACUUGGAAAAAUUAUUUUCCAAGGCAAACAAACAAAAAGCUACCCGGGUUUAAUCAUGACCUAUCUCUUACUUAGAAAAAAUUUUCGAAAAAUUUUUGAAGGCAAAAAAGCAAAAGCUACCCCGGUCCAGUUAUGACCUAUCUCUUACUUAUAAAAAUUUUUCGAAAAUUUUUCUAAGGCAAACAAACAAAAAGCUACCCCAGUCCAGUUAUGACAUAUCUCUUACUUGGAAAAAUUAUUUUCCAAGGCAAACAAACAAAAAGCUACCCGGGUUCAAUCAUGAUCUAUCUCUUACUUGGAAAAAUUUUCCAAGGCAAAAAGCAAAAGCUACCCCGGUUCAAUUUUGAGAACCCGAGUACCCCGGUUCAAUCAUGAGUUAUCUUACUUGGAAAAAUUUUUCUAAGGCAAACAAACAAAAAGCUACCCCGGUCCAGUUAUGACCUAUCUCUUACUUGGAAAAAAUUUCCAAGGCAAAAAACAAAAGCUACCCCGGUUCAAUUUUGAGAACCCGAGUACCCCGGUUCAAUCAUGAGUUAUCUUACUUGGAAAAAUUUUUCUAAGGCAAACAAACAAAAAGCUACCCCGGUCCAAUUAUGACCUAUCUCUUACUUAGAAAAAUUUUCUAAGGUAAAAAAGCAAAAGCUACCCCGGUUCAAUUUUGAGUACCCCGGUUCAAUCAUGAGCUAUCUUACUUGGAAAAAUUUUUCUAAGGCAAAAAAAAUAAAAAAA
rnacentral:lncRNA from 1 species